rnacentral:lncRNA from 10 species
CCGCUUGCCUUCCACUUUUCAUUCAACAAACGUCAUUAGCUUCUGACCCUGUGCCAGGCACCAAGCCAGGCUCAAAAUGUAGAUGAGGAAAGACAGAGCCCAGGCUGCCUGAGCAGGAGCUAAGCACCAGUUAGUCAUUCUCUCCUGGCGGAGGGCCUACUGUGUGUCCCGGGCUGCAAGUGAACAACAGGACAAAACGCCCUGGCCUCGCGGAGCUGAUCCUGCCCUGCCCUGUAACUCGGGUGUCUCCGCGGGCCGAGCCUGGCACACAAUGAGAGCAGUGAGGCACAGAGAAGGUGACCGCCUGAGGUAUCUCGGUUGGUAAGCAGCAGCGCUGGGCUUGGAAUCCGGUUUGAACCUGCAGCAUGUGACCCGCUGUUCUCUGAAUGCUGCUGCUACACGAGAUGGAAUCUCACUCUGUUGCCUAGGCCAGAUGGAGUGCAGUAGCACGAUCUCAGCUCACUGCAGCUUCUGCCUCCCGGGUUCAAGCAACUCUCCUGCUUCAGCCUCCUGAGUAGUGAGAUUACAGGCUGCACCACAACGCCCAGCUAAUUUUUCUAUCUUUAGUAGAGAGGGGGUUUCACCAUGUUGGCCAGGCUGGUCUGGAACUGUUGACCUUAGGUGAUCCGCCUGCCUCGGCCUCCCAAAGUGCUGGGAUUACAGAUAUGAGCCACCGCAUCCGGCCUAUUCUGCUAGCCUAUUCUGCUAAUUUUUAAGUCUGUGCAACUUUCAAGGGAAAUUAAAUCCCGAUAUGCCCUACUCAUUUUACACCAAAGUCAUCAAAAUGUGGCUUUCAACGCCCCUUUGAAGUCCUAAAACUAGACUUGGUCAAGAGGCCCAAGUGUUUUAAGUGCAUCGGAAACAAAGAAACAUGUUAAUAAAAUGUUUCCUUCUUGGCAGCAUCCUGGUGAGUGCCUCCCUGGGUUGCAAAGGGAAAUGUGAUGAGGAAGAGGUGGGCUUGUGUGCUUUGAAGUGGGCAGGGCCUGGGAAUCUCUACAGGGCAGUGCAGCUGCUGUCCGCUU